UUACGGCCAUAUCAUGUUGAAACGUUGGUUUCCAUGUGCUCACCAAUGUUAAGCAAUGUUGAUCCUGGUCAGUACCUAAAUGGGUGAUUGCUUGGGAAUACCCGGUGCUGUAA